GCCAGGUAUGGCGACACAUGCCUGUAAUCCCAGCAACUUGGGAGGCUGAGGCAGGAAGAUUGCAAGUUUGAGGCCAGCCUCAGCAAUUUAGCAAGAUCCAGUCUCAA
rnacentral:sRNA from 1 species